UCCGGUGAUUGUGUCGGACAGGGUCUCACCCGUUCCCAUCCCGAACACGGAAGUUAAGCCAGCUUCCACCCCAGCGGCGCUGCGCCGCCGGGGACCCCGGGGCUGGAGCGAUGGUACUCGGGCGGGUAACUGCGUGGGAGAGUAGGAAGUCGCCGGGA
rnacentral:rRNA from 1 species